AUAGAGGCACCCGAAAAUCUGUAAAAGAGUAGGGA
rnacentral:ncRNA from 1 species